GGGUGAGCCGCGCCCAGCGCCCCUCCUCUUGUUAUUUUUUUUCCCUGCCGUUGGGCUUGCCCAGUGCACUGUUCAGAUGCGGCCCGUGCCAUGUUUUUCCCAGUUCUACGAAUUUAGCUAUUUAUCCAGAGAUUGCCAGUUUUGCAGAUUAGACCCUCAUGUUCAUGCAUUUAAUAACUCACGAACCCUGCAUCGGAUUAAAAUGUUUUAUAUAUGAAACUUGCUCAGAAUUUUGUGUAGAUUAAUAAUAUCCAACUUUCAUCUAUGUUUGAGAUGAUAAAAAUGCUGUUUGCAUUAAUUUGCUCCUAUGCCAUGCUAAAAUGCUUUAUUUCAUAACUAAAUAACCGUAACUCCAAUUUUAAUAAACUUUAUAUGUA
rnacentral:rRNA from 1 species